rnacentral:rRNA from 1 species
CGUAGGGUGCGAGCGUUAAUCGGAAUUACUGGGCGUAAAGCGUGCGCAGGCGGUUUUGUAAGACAGGCGUGAAAUCCCCGGGCUCAACCUGGGAACUGCGCUUGUGACUGCAAGGCUAGAGUACGGCAGAGGGGGGUGGAAUUCCACGUGUAGCAGUGAAAUGCGUAGAGAUGUGGAGGAACACCAAUGGCGAAGGCAGCCCCCUGGGUCGAUACUGACGCUCAUGCACGAAAGCGUGGGUAGCAAACAGGAUUAGAUACCCUGGUAGUCCACGCCCUAAACGAUGUCAACUAGGUGUUGGGUGGGUAAAACCAUUUAGUACCGGAGCUACCGCGUGAAGUUGACCGCCUGGGGAGUACGGCCGCAAGGUUA